UCCCGGCGGUCCGAGUCGCAUCCACAUUUAUUGGGUCUAAAACAUCCGUAGCUUGUUUCAUAAGUCUCUUGUGAAAUCUCAUUUCUCAAACUUGAGGCGUGCAAGAGAUACUAUGUUGCUAGAGAUCGGAAGACGUAAAGAGAACGAUGGAGGUAGCGGUAAAAUGUGUUAAUCUUCGUCGGACUAACAAUGGCGAAGGCACUUUACGAGUACGAAUCUGACAGUGAGGGAUGAAGGCUAGGGGCGCAAAAGG
rnacentral:rRNA from 1 species